rnacentral:rRNA from 1 species
GACGAACGCUGGCGGCGCGCCUAACACAUGCCAGUCGAACGAGCGAUAGAGAGCUUGCUUUCUCGAGCGAGUGGCGAACGGGUGAGUAACGCGUGAGGAACCUGCCUCAAAGAGGGGGACAACAGUUGGAAACGACUGCUAAUACCGCAUAAGCCCACGGCUCGGCAUCGAGCCGGGGGAAAAGGAGCAAUCCGCUUUGAGAUGGCCUCGCGUCCGAUUAGCUAGUUGGUGAGGUAACGGCCCACCAAGGCAACGAUCGGUAGCCGGACUGAGAGGUUGAACGGCCACAUUGGGACUGAGACACGGCCCAGACUCCUACGGGAGGCAGCAGUGGGGAAUAUUGCACAAUGGGGGAAACCCUGAUGCAGCGACGCCGCGUGGAGGAAGAAGGUCUUCGGAUUGUAAACUCCUGUUGUUGGGGAAGAUAAUGACGGUACCCAACAAGGAAGUGACGGCUAACUACGUG